GCAAACUUGGUUCUUCAUCAAAUAGUGCCGAAAACUUAUCUAAACCAAUAUUCGUGUCUCCAUCUUCUGCACACACUUUAUUCAGCCUAUUCAUCACCAUAUUAAGCUCUGUAAUGUGAAAGUUUUCACUGUUUGAGGUCUCGGGAAUUCUUGAUUUUUUGUUUGAUUGUUCACUGUUAAAUGCUGUGGAUUUCCUCCAAAAGUUCCAUUUGGUGGAUAAUAACUCUGGAAGAGUUUGGAGAAAGAAAUGGACUCUUGAAAAGAAUUUCUCAAUGUCCCAACAAAGAAUUCUGUUUAGUAAAACGAUCAAGGAUGGAAUGAUGUUUGCUUGUGUCAACUCCAUGUCGAAAUAAAUGACGCUUCUAAUUUUUUUCGGGGGGUGGAGAACAUAAGCUUAUAUGAUUUCUCUUGUCAUCGCAACAUGCUGGUGUUUAUAUAGUAUACCUAAGGGAUUAGGUUAACUUUGACAGUGUCAGAUUAUUACAUAAGAAAUUUUGGGUUUGGUCUGUGUUUGUUUGUGAAUCAUGAGAAUGGGAAGUUCAGGAUUUUAUGCCUCAAAAUUUCCAUGAAGUUUUAACGAUGGGACACAGAGAAAAAAAAAAUUCUCUCUUUCAGAGGGUCUGUGUGAAUGCGGAGGGCCUGCUGAAACACGCAUGUAAAAGGGAGUAAAUUGUUAUGGAACUUUCUUGGAAAUAUUAUUUUAUUGUUCAAAAUGUUUACAUGAAAUUUCUCUGACUUUAAUCCUACGUAUGUUUCUGACUUAAAUCCUACGUUUGUUUUGAUUACAUCAGGUCACCAACUUCCUUGACCUUCCGGCACUGGGCAGACAUCAGCUCCCAUACAUGGUCUUACGUGGUAACUUUCAAAUUCAGAGAAACCCUAGAAUUAAUAAAAAUGGGCAAUCCUGAGCCAAAUCCUGUUUUCCCAAACUAAAGCUUUUCUCUUUUAUUCUGUACUAAUUGCUGUGGCUUAGCUGACAGAUUAAUUUUCUAACGAAAAUGAUUCCUCCUCCAACAUUGUUGGGUUGACUCUUUAGUCUUUAACUUCUAUGGAGUACUUUGGUGUUCGUCUAGCUUUGACGAACAUUCUAGUCUUAGUGUUCGUGAAUUCGUCAGGUGCAGACUUCGACUCUGCAUGUGUCUACGAAUUCAUCAGACUCCGACUCUGCACGAGAGACAUUUAGUUCAAAA
rnacentral:lncRNA from 1 species